CCCUGAGCAUGGGAAGGUGGAUAGGGGGAGGUCAGCUCCAGACCCAGGCAGAGCCAGGACAGCCCAAGUGCAAAAGUGCCAGGCCACUGGUGUGACCUCGUGAGUCACCGUCCCCACAGCCAGGCCCGGAUUAUAGGAGGCUGACGCGGUUUCCAAGGAGAGAAGCCCCAGUCUCGCAUGGAAAUGCCCACACCCAGGGCACACUCCGUGCCUGCCCUGCCCCACAGACAAGCCCUGGCCUGCGCCCGGCCACCUGCGUUCCUGGGGAGGGAGCGGCCCUCUGGACUCGGAGCCCCCACCCCGGGCGGCCCCUUGCACGCCGGAGGCUUUAGGCCCAGGGCGCUGGUCCCCGGUGCUGGGCUAGGGGAACGUUGGAGGAGGGCUUCCCCAGCUGCCAAAGGGCCCGGGAGCUGGUUCCUUCCUCCACGGGGCCUCUGUGGACAAGAGGACGCCUGAUCCCAGUAGAAAUGUCCCCCAUUAGCCCAGACUGGACGUGGAUGGCGCAGCCUCUGGGAUUAGCCAACAGCAAGCCCCACGUGUCUCUGUGAUGGGUCCCGCCUUGUCCCGCGGCCUCGCCCACUUUUCCCAGGCCGGUGGCAUCGGAGGCAUCCUGGCUGUCACCCCGCCAGCCCGGAAACGCCCCAUCUCCCUCCCACGGGGAACCCGCGUCGGGUGACAGAUGGCUUCCUCCCGCACCCUGGGCCUCACAUACACGGGCCAGGAGGGGAAUUAGAUUCCGGGAGAAAAGUCCAGCUCGGAAGCCCAGCCCAGCCCUCCGAGUCCCACCUGCUGGUGCGGGGCUGGUGCAGCUGGUCAGAGCUUGGCCCCCCCAGCAGCCGCCCCCUGACAGGCAAACCUGGGAAGCAGCGCGGCCCAUGGGACCCUCGUGCCUCCAGCUCCUUGGCCCGGCACACCCCUGCAGGCAUUCCUGCCCGUCCUCGGUUGCCCAGCUCCGCCUCCCCCUCUCGGUGGGCACCCCACGCACCCAGCUGUAUCCCGGGGUGCCCAACAGCCCUGGGCCAGGGAAAUCUCAGUGCUGGCUGACCGACCGGUCCGGCUCCAGCGAGCGCUCCGGCUGUCCUCACCCAGGCCGGCCUGGGCACCAGAGAUUCUCGCUACAACAGCCCCUCCCCACUGCCCCUUCCUGCUGGAGCCACGGCCACCACGGGGGAGGCCAGUGUCUACUGGGUGCCCCCAUGCCACGUUCUCUCUCUUUGCUCCGCUGGUUCAGCCUGAGAACCCACCGCCACCUUGCAGCCAAGGCCGGCACCAGGCCACGCACCUCCUAGAGCCCGAGAGAUCCUGAGGAGUCCCACACCCAGUGCCGGGACACGACGGCGGGGCAGGAGGCGGGCCAGGCCACAGCUCACCUGUCCUGCCAGGCUUCCCGGGCGCAGCCCCCUGCCUGGGCCCCUGGGCCUGCCAUGAGCAGGAGCCUGGAUGCGGACAACGUGACGGCAAAGCUCCAAACGUGGGUCACGGCCGUGGCUGCACAACUUGGCGAAGUUACUAAAACGGACCCUUGACGCCCUGAAGACAGGAAACCGUCCGGUAGAGACUAACGUGGAGAUGAGAGGCUGUCACCCCCAGCCGCUGUCAGCAGGGACCAG